rnacentral:rRNA from 1 species
CCCUUAGACGUUCUGGGCCGCACGCGCGCUACACUGACCAGUGCAACAAGCAUCCGUCCUUGGCCGACAGGCCCGGGCAAUCUUUGAACGCUGGUCGUGAUGGGGAUAGACUUUUGCAAUUUUUGGUCUUCAACGAGGAAUUCCUAGUAAACGCAAGUCAUCAACUUGCAUUGAUUACGUCCCUGCCCUUUGUACACACCGCCCGUCGCACCUACCGAUUGAAUGGUCCGGUGAAAUCUCCGGACUGGCGUGAGUCGGAGCAAUCUGACAAACGCCGGAAAGUUGAUUAAACCUUACCAUUUAGAGGAAGGUGAAGUCGUAACA